rnacentral:sRNA from 1 species
AACAUGGUCAUUUUUAUUAAAGUAAAAAAGAAGAUAGUAGUAGCUCUGGACAUUUGGAAAUGUGUAUGUUUGUUUACAUCCUGUGAAAAGUAGACAUGGUCUGCAAAAUAGCCGAUCUCCUAAAUAUAUUUCUUUCUCUAGAAAUGUUAUUUUGGGACAAAUGAAUGAAUCCCUGUUGGGAAAAAAGAACCUGCUGCAUAUCAUCCAUAUUUUAUUUUAUUUAUUUAUUUAUUUAUUUUUGAGAUGGCGUCUCACUCUGUCUCCCAGGCUGGAGUGGAGUGGCACGAUCUCGGCUCACUGCAACCUCUGCCUCCUGGGUUCAAGCAAUUCUGCUACCUCAGCAUGCCCAGUAGCUGGGAUUACAGGUGCAUGCCACCACACCUGGCUAAUUUUUGUAUUUUUAAUAGAGACGGGGUUUCGCUAUGUUGGCCAUGCUGGUCUCGAACUCCUGACCUCAAGGGAUCCACCGCCUCGGCUUCUGGAAUUACAGGUGUGAGCCACCGCACCCAGCCAUGAUCCAUGUUUUAAUGUGGGUUUUGGAUUGCUUCCUAGGCCACGUGUUUAACAUGCCGCAUGAUGAUGCAAAGCAGUGUGCCAGCCUUAAUGGUGUGAACCAGGAUUCCCACAUGAUGGCGUCAAUGCUUUCCAACCUGGACCACAUCCAGCCUUGGUCUCCUUGCAGUGCCUACAUGAUUACAUCAUUUCUGGAUAAUGGUCAUGGGGAAUGUUUGAUGGACAAGCCUCAGAAUCCCAUACAGCUCCCAGGCGAUCUCCCUGGCACCUCGUACGAUGCCAACCGGCAGUGCCAAUUUACAUUUGGGGAGGACUCCAAGCACUGCCCUGAUGCAGCCAGCACGUGUAGCACCUUGUGGUGUACCGGCACCUCUGGCGGGGUGCUGGUGUGCCAAACCAAACACUUCCCGUGGGCAGAUGGCACCAGCUGUGGAGAAGGGAAAUGGUGUAUCAACGGCAAGUGUGUGAACAAAACCGACAGAAAGCAUUUUGAUGUGAGUUUUUCUACUGAAACACAUUCAGAAUUGAAAAGAACAAAGUGAUGGUAAAAGAUUUGAUACCAAGUUAAACAUCCCCAUCUGUGUCCUCUAGCAGGAAUGUGAGAUAGCUUAUUUUUAGAAUUGAUUCUUUGUCCCAUGUGGUUUUCUUUGAUACCCUAAAAGUUCUCUUUAGAUAAUUCUAAUGCUGAUGAUUUAUGUCUCCAUUUAGACGCCUUUUCAUGGAAGCUGGGGGAUGUGGGGGCCUUGGGGAGACUGUUCGAGAACGUGUGGUGGAGGAGUCCAGUACACGAUGAGGGAAUGUGACAACCCAGUCCCAAAGAAUGGAGGGAAGUACUGUGAAGGCAAACGAGUUCGCUACAGAUCCUGUAACCUUGAGGACUGUCCAGACAAUAAUGGAAAAACCUUUAGAGAGGAACAAUGUGAGGCACACAACGAGUUUUCAAAAGCUUCCUUUGGGAGUGGGCCCGCGGUGGAAUGGAUUCCCAAGUAUGCAGGUGUUUCACCAAAGGACAGGUGCAAGCUCAUCUGCCAAGCCAAAGGCAUUGGCUACUUCUUCGUUUUGCAGCCCAAGGUAGUUAGUUUUUACCUUAUUUUUACCUAAAACCCAAGGCCUAGGCUUGCUACCUUUUCAAGCAAUUUUUGAUAUACUUUCUUUGCUUUCCAUAUUAACAUAUCUUCAAUUUCAAAUUUGAACUCCUUUUCUUUUACAUUAAUUGGCAACUGCCUGCUUUGAGUUUAGUGUUUUCAGUUAUGAAUGAAGCUUAAAUCUAACACUUCAGAUGCUUGCAAUUGCUCGCUAUUACUCUUUUAUAUACAAAGAAAAGCUUUUUGGACAGUCAAGCGCUCCUCUGUGCGACUAGGCUUCACAUACAGCUCAUAGUUAGAUACAUUAUAUGUUCACACAGUAACCAGUAGUUUUGGAAAAUAGUUUAUGCAUGGUCCAAAAUACUUGUUACAGGGUAACUAGCAGUAGCAGGUGCAAACAGAAUAAUAGAAGUGGUAGUUUGAGUAUUGAUAAUUUUUAUGUUUGAAAACACAUAUUGAAGUAGGAAAAGCAUCAUUUCUUUUGCUGUUUUGCUAAGGGAAUACAUCUGGAUCUGAGACAGAAAAUGGAAUUUAAUGUGAUUGAGAUGAUCGUGUGUCAUUAGCACCGUAGGCUAUGAAAAUAUUCCCAAGUUGGAGAUUCAAUAUUCAGCAAGUGAUUUAUGAAGCACUUACUCGUGCCAGAUACUAAUUAUUCUAGGCUCUGAAGGUACAGCAGUAAACAAAGUGACAAAGAGCUCUACUUUCAUUGACCUUAGCUGGAGGAGAGAUAGGUCAAUAGAUAAAUAACUUUUAAAAAUCUCUAAUUUCUUCACAUGUCUAUACGUGGUACUGAAAAACAUGCCAAAGUGAAGGGUAAAUGCAUGAAAUGCAUGUGUAGAGGGUACUGUUUUUAAUUAGCAUGGUCAGGAAAGUAGAGAGAAAAUGUUUACACUUAUCAUUGCAGCAUCUCCUUCCUUUGCUUGUAUGUAACACUAGACAUGUGUCCUUUUUUCAGGUUGUGGAUGGUACUCCAUGUAGCCCAGAUUCCACCUCUGUCUGUGUGCAAGGACAGUGUGUAAAAGCUGGUUGUGAUCACAUCAUAGACUCCAAAAAGAAGUUUGAUAAAUGUGGUGUUUGUGGGGGAAAUGGAUCUACUUGUAAGAAAAUAUCAGGAUCAGUUACUAGUGCAAAACCUGGGUAUCAUGAUAUCAUCACAAUUCCAACUGGAGCCACGAACAUCGAAGUGAAACAGCGGAACCAGAGGGGAUCCAGGAACAAUGGCAGCUUUCUUGCCAUCAAAGCUGCUGAUGGCACGUAUAUUCUUAAUGGUGACUACACUUUGUCCACCUUAGAGCAAGACAUUAUGUACAAAGGCGUUGUCUUGAGGUACAGCGGCUCCUCUGCGGCGUUGGAAAGAAUUCGCAGCUUUAGCCCUCUCAAAGAGCCCUUGACCAUCCAGGUUCUUACUGUGGGCAAUGCCCUUCGACCUAAAAUUAAAUACACCUACUUCGUAAAGAAGAAGAAGGAAUCUUUCAAUGCUAUCCCCACUUUUUCAGCGUGGAUCAUCGAAGAAUGGGGCGAAUGUUCUAAGUCAUGUGAGUUGGGUUGGCAGACAAGACUAGUAGAAUGCCGAGACAUGAAUGGACAGCCUGCUUCCGAGUGUGCAAAAGAAGUGAAGCCAGCCAGCACCAGACCUUGUGCAGACCAUCCCUGCCCCCAGUGGCAGCUGGGGGAGUGGUCAUCAUGUUCUAAGACCUGUGGGAAGGGUUACAAAAAAAGAAGCUUGAAGUGUCUGUCCCAUGAUGGAGGGGUGUUAUCUCAUGAGAACUGUGAUCCUUUAAAGAAACCUAAACAUUUCAUAGACUUUUGCACGAUGGCAGAAUGCAGUGAAGUGGUUUAAGUGGUGUUAGCUUUGAGGGCAAGGCAAAGUGAGGAAGGGCUGGUGCAGGGAAAGCAAGAAGGCUGGAGGGAUCCAGCGUAUCUUGCCGGUAACCAGUGAGGUGUAUCAGUAAGGUGGGAUUAUGGGGGUAGAUAGAAAAAGAGUCGAAUCAUCAGAGUAAACUGCCAGUUGCAAAUUUGAUAGGAUAGUUAGUGAGGAUUAUUAACCUCUGAGCAGUGAUAUAGCAUAAUAAAGCCCCGGGCAUUAUUAUUAUUAUUUCUUUUGUUACAUCUAUUACAAGUUAAAAAAAAACAAAGCAAUUGUCAAAAAAAUUAGAACUAUUACAACCCCUGUUUCCUGGUACUUAUCAAAUACUUUUUGUAUCAUGGGGGUUGGGAAAUGAAAAGUAGGAGAAAGGUGAGAUUUUACUAAGACCUGUUUUACUUUACCUCACUAACAACGGGGGGAGAAAGGAGUACAAAUAGAAUCUUUGACCAGCACUGUUUAUGGCUGCUAUGGUUUCAGAGAAUGUUUAUACAUUAUUUCUACCAAGAAUUAAAACUUCAGAUUGUUCAGCAUGAGAGAAAGGCUCAGCAACAUGAAAUGACUCAAAUGUCUUCCUCUUUCCUUUUUUGAACCAUCUCAGUCUUUAUUUGUGUAAUUCAUUUUGCGGAAAAAACAACUCCAUGUGUUUAUUCAAGUGCAUUAAAGUCUACAAUGGAGAAAAAAAGUAGUGAAGCAUUAGGUCCUGGUAAAAACUAGAGGAGACACAAUGAGCUUAGUACCUCCAACUUCCUUUCUUUCCUACCAUGUAACCCUGAUUUGGGAAUAUGGAUGUAAAGAAGUAACUUGUGUCUCAUGAAAAUCAGUACAAUCACACAAGGAGGAUGAAAUGCUGGAACAAAAAUGAGGUGUGUAGAACAGGGUCCCACAGGUUUGGGGACAUUGAGAUCACUCGUCUUGUGGUGGGGAGGCUGCUGAGGGGUAGCAGGUCCAUCUCCAGCAGCUGGUCCAACAGUCGUAUCCUGGUGAAUGUCUGUUCAGCUCUUCUGUGAGAAUACGAUUUCUUCCAUAUGUAUAUAGUAAAAUAUGUUACUAUAAAUUACAUGUACUUUAUAAGUAUUGGUUUGGGUGUUCCUUCCAAGAAGGACUAUAGUUAGUAAUAAAUGCCUAUAAUAACAUAUUUAUUUUUAUACAUUUAUUUCUAAUGAAAAAACUUUUAAAUUAUAUCGCUUUUGUGAAAGUGCAUAUAAAAUAGAGUAUUUAUACAAUAUAUGUUACUAGAAAUAAAAGAACACUUUUGGAA